rnacentral:lncRNA from 1 species
CUGCUACGCGGUACCCGGAUGGCCUCUCUCCGGGUCUUCGGGGGUGCGCGUCUUCCGGCCGACCCUCCUCCUGCUCCUGCUAUGUUGCUGACCCACGCUGCUGGCGCGAGUGGUCUUGCCCCUCGGGACCCGAGGAGGGAGGAGUUCUUCGUUCCCUUCAGCUUUCAGGCCCCAGGGAGAACCUUUCAGUCACAGGCAGCCUAGGUUCAAGAAGAAGAAAACCUGAGGCCUCGGCUCACCCUGACAGGGAAGUGGCGUGGGGACCGCUAAAGGACUGCGAGGUUCCACUGCCCAGGGCUGUCUAACCGCUUGCUUUAGACUGUGGGUGCACGGAGUCCGUCACUCAGCCUCCAGGACCAGGGCUCCUGAUGUGUGAGCGCGUUCCAUUCCCCCAUUCCCACAAGAACCCUCGCUCCCGCGAAGGCCUCCUGAGCUUGCGCGACUCCGCUGGGCCUUGGAGAGCUCUGGGGAGGGAGGCGCCUCUCCAGCACCCAGAUCCCCAGCCUGCAGCGCCUCGGGGCCAGUGUGGCCCGGAAUGGCAGCUUUGUCACACACUGCCGCUGGAGUGGGACUUGGCGUGGCUUUUCUGGAGGGCGACCUACAUCAAGGGGCAUGCAUGCGCCCUUUGAGCUACAGAUUUCUCAGCUGGGAAUGAAUUAUGAAUGUCCUUUAGCCUUGGCCGAGAGGGUGUACAGCUCUGCAGUGUUCCUGUCGGAAACUGGAAAUAGCCUGAGUGUUCUCCAUUAUGAAUUAGUGCAAAUGAAACACGGCUGAGCCUUACGGUGGCAUAGGAUGCAGUCAUUAGAAUACAACAUUCGAAAAAGGAAGAGCUGGUCGUUUGGUAAAAGCUUGUAACAGAUAAAGUUCUAAAUGGCAUCAAAAGAACAGACUUAGUAAAUCUCAUUUUGGUUAAAGAUGAGAAAUAAAAAUAAUACGCCUGAA